ACACCUCCGAUCUGCUUCAACACUCACUGGGGAGGGGGGUAUCCUGGUCCUUCCUGGGGGUGCCAACCAUACCUCGGGGGCCCUGUUCCGAAUCCCUGCCCCCUAUAGGGACUAGGUGUAGAACAGAAAGGUCUGAGCAUAGCCAAAAAUGCCAAAAAGUGUGGCAAACAAGCCCCACUGAAGGCACGUGUCAGAACAAGGGCACUGUUGGGCCAGGAUCCUGAUUUUCAGGAGGGGGUGUCAUCGGGCAACUGAGCAGCACGUGUCCGGGACAGAAGCGAUGGGGGGGCCUUGGUGGCCCUCAGUGUGCACCCAGAAGGUGACCACCCUACAAGAAAACUAACCUUAAACUGAAAGUGUCCUUUGCAAAGCCAGGCAGCAUGCAGCCAUUUCACAACCAAAGGAGUGACAAGUACAGAAGAGGCUCUGAUCUUCCUCAUGACUUCACUGGACCCUGCGGGGCUUGGCCCGGCUCUCAGUGGAGCCAUUUAGACCUCGCCGGUUCUGUCCAGAUCGACCUGCUGCCAGCUCUAAAGAGGAUGGCUCCCCACACUGUGCACCGUGGACCUGGAUGGGCUCCCGGGCCCUGCCGGGUCGUACCGUAUCAGGCGCUUUGAGGCCAUGUUGAGGGGGAGGCCGCUGACUGUGUUCCCGCUGGUGCCGUUAAUCCGCAUGGCUUGUGUCUCUCACCCCCCUCCCCUCCCCCCACAGCUCACACAGAUAGUCUUUUUCUGCUUGGGUUCCAAAUUCUGAUGCAUUUUGAGAAUGCAUCAUGAAGGUGGGGUGUCAUUUUUUUCCUGAGCUUUAUUUUCUGACACCCCCAUCCCAAGCCCCAUCCUCGGGGUGCAGGAACAUCGUACAGCGUAUUGGCCGGCCAUUCGAUCUCAUGCGGCACACUGACCCUAAUGCUCUGUGUGGCCGGGGUCGGUCAUACGGCAUGAUGGCCCGCCCUUCGAUCACGGGAGUUUGCGGCACCCUAACCCUAACGCCCUGUGUGGCCAGGGUUGGUCGUGCGGCAUGGUGGCCUGCCCUUCGAUUACGAGCGCGUGCGGCACACUGACUCUAAUGCUCUGUGUGGCUGGGGCCAGUCGUACGGCAUGGUGGCCUGCCCUUUGAUCAUGGGCGCGUGUGGCACACUAACCCUAACAUCCUGUGUAGCCAGCGUGGGUCAUACAGCAUGGUGGCCUGCCCUUCGAUCACAGGCACUUGCAGCACACUAAGCCUAACGCCCUGUGUGGCCGGGGUCGGUCGUAUGACAUGAUGGCCUGCCCUUCGAUCACGGGCGCGUGCAGCACACUGACUCUAAUGCUCUGUGUGGCCGGGUUCGACCGUAUGACAUGGCGGCCUGCCCUUCGAUCACAACCACGUGCAGCACACUAACGCUAAUGUCCUGUGUGGCCGGGAUCGGUCAUCCGGCAUGGCGGCCUGCCCUUCGAUUACAGGCACGUGCAGCACACUAAGCCUAACGCCCUGUGUGGCCGGGGUCGGUCGUAUGACAUGAUGGCCUGCCCUUCGAUCACGGGCGCGUGCAGCACACUGACUCUAAUGCUCUCUGUGGCCGGGUUCGACCGUAUGACAUGGCGGCCUGCCCUUCGAUCACAGCCACGUGCAGCACACUAACGCUAAUGUCCUGUGUGGCCGGGAUCGGUCAUCCGGCAUGGCGGCCUGCCCUUCGAUUACAGGCACGUGCAGCACACUAAGCCUAACGCCCUGUGUGGCCGGGGUCGGUCGUAUGACAUGAUGGCCUGCCCUUCGAUCACGGGCGCGUGCAGCACACUGACUCUAAUGCUCUGUGUGGCCGGGUUCGACCGUAUGACAUGGCGGCCUGCCCUUCGAUCACAGCCACGUGCAGCACACUAACGCUAAUGUCCUGUGUGGCCGGGAUCGGUCAUCCGGCAUGGCGGCCUGCCCUUCGAUUACAGGCACGUGCGGCACACUAACGCUAAUAUCCUGUGUGGCCGGGAUCGGUCAUACGGCAUGAUGGCCUGCCUUUCGAUCACGGGCAUAUGCAGCACACUGACCCUAACGC